GCCUACGACCAUAUCACCCAGAAUGCGCACGAUCUCGUCUGAUCUCGGAAGCUAAGCAGGGUCGAGCUUGGAUAGUUCUUGGAUGGGAGACUGCCUGGGAAUACCAGGUGUUGUAGGCU
rnacentral:rRNA from 1 species